GGAGGGCGCUGCGCCUCGGGCUGCCUGCGCUGGCCGCGGCUAGCGGAGCGGAGGGCGCUGCGCCUCGGGCUGCCUGCGCUGGCCGCGGCUAGCGGAGCGGAGGGCGCUGCGCCUCGGGCUGCCUGCGCUGGCCGCGGCUAGCGGAGCAGCUGCCCCUCUGGCGAGUGCGCCCCCCUGGGGGCACGGCUGCGUGAGGGGCUUCAGCUGGCUGUCUGUUUACUGCUCUGAGAGACCCGUAUGUGUGUGUAGCCUGAGGGGAGUCUUCCCCUGCCUAGUGCUGUUCCUGGUCGGAAGCGCAGGGAAAGAGGGUCUGGCGGAAGACUGGCUGGCACAAAAGCCAAGUUUGGAGAGGGUCUGGAUACAGAAUGGGAUCUGAAAUGAUGGAAGCUGAUGGCUCUGCAAACUCCAGACAGCUUCCUGCCAGAGAACAUGGUCAGCUAAAAGUGAAGAACAGAACACAUGGUAGGUAAAAAAGCAAAGGGCAUGUCCUUGACUCCAUUUUCUUGGGAUUCUCUAGGAAAUGAUGCUGCUAAGUAUUCCUUGCUCUUUUUUCCUUUUUAGUCAAUAAACAAAUUAUUUUGCAAAUGUUAACUAAAGCCUACCAUGUGGGGACAGCAUUCCUAUGUCCUUUUGACAGAGGGCAACACUGAGGACUGCUUAAGGCAUACGGACAAAGUUGGUGCCCCUGACUUGCAGGAGUCCUGCUCUUCUGUCCUGGUGUGAAAGACUGCUGCCUGAGAGGACUUGUAAAGAGACCAGAAAGACCUGAGCAUGCAAACUCUUUCCAGGUAUGUGCAGCAGGGCAGAGAAGAGUGAGCAUGAAGGACAAGCACCCUGCCCCAGAGACACUGGCUGGCUGGUUCCUCCCCAGAACAGACCCUUGCUCUGCUUUCUUUAACAUUCUGCCUGCUCCAAAUCAGUCCUUUCUGCUUACCCCAUCCUUUGCAUAUGUCAUGGGAAGGGACAGAAAAACAACCUUGCUUUUUCAGGACAAAGGCUUUGACUGGAGUUCCUCCCGGGUUCUUAAAAAGGUGUGGUACCAAAAAGACCUUGAAAUGGGGCUGGAGAUUAUUGAGACACUACCUAAAUGCCACUGGCACCUCUUCUUUUGUAGGUGUCACCUCCCCAGAGUUAGUGGAAAGGUUUAAGGAACAAAGAGCAAUGCUGAGAUGAGAUCACCCAGAUGUGUGUGGAACAGGAACAGCUGCCCAACAGGUAGGAAUGGGAGGGAUAUCCUGCUUUAGGAGAGGAAUGGCAUGCCUUGUUUGGGACAGGUAGGAUGACUGCUGACAAGUAGCCUGGAAUUGUGUGCAGGACCUGUUGUAUCAGGAGCAGAUUGGUUUGGACUUGGGUGUUUCUAGCAGUCUGCAGUUCUCCUUUCCCCAUUUUAUUAUUGCUUCUGGUUUUGCCUACAAAGCAUGAAAAGUUUUGAAAGGAAGAGUACUGAAAAUUGACUGUCUGGUAUUUCUGCCUCCCAGCAUGUCUCAUAGCAAGGCAGCUUGCACAAGAUCUGGAAGAUGGAGGGAGGAGUUUAAUUACUGAUAGAAGGGGAUGAUCUCCAAAGAAUGAUUGCAACAGGCCACAGAUAAUCUGGUGUUUAAAGCUUGCAUGGUGAUGCAGGACACUUGGAUGCAGAUUCAUGCCCACUUUUGCCUUCACGAUCACAAGUUACUGGGAAGACACCUCAUGGAUUUGGUCUCAUUGGGGGCCCUCAUCCAGCUGGAACAACAGAUCCAUCUCUGGUGUUACAGGCAGUGAUUUGAAGGAGCUGUCAAAUGGUUAAAGCAUGUGGACAGGUUCCUACAUGCUCCCUACAGCAAGCUUGCAGUGCCUGUGGGGAUCUGUGAGGACUCUGACGCAGUAAGAAGUGUUCAGGAGGUGAGCUUGUCUGAAAGGAUAGCAUCUAAAUACUUCUGAUGGCUGGUGUGCAGUGCCUGCAUGGUUUUUAGUGUCCAGCUGCCUCUAAAUUGCUUCGCUUCAAGUCCCUGGUCUCAGUACCAGUUCCUACAACAUUUAAAUACAUUCAAAAUGUGGAUGUUCAGCUUUAAGUAUUGUGAUAUUAAACUGAUGCUAGUGGCAAAGAGUA